rnacentral:lncRNA from 1 species
AUGCACAACGGUCUAGUUGAGUUUAGUCAGCAUUUUUCGUGUCCGCGUCCGUCAGCGAAAUUGUGGGCCGAUCCCGGUGGCCGUGCAGGGCCAGGAGCAGUGG